CUGUGAGUAUUCUCGCUAUUCUGAUUUUGUAAUAAUCAGGGCAGACUAAACAUUUGCUAUAUGAAGACCAUGCAUAUAUCCCCAGACCUAGUUCUUUCCCUAGGUCUAGUUUUAUAAAUGCUGAUGAUAACC
ensembl:snoRNA SNORA72 Small nucleolar RNA SNORA72